UGGGGAAUAUUGGACAAUGGGCGCAAGCCUGAUGCAGCCAUGCCGCGUGUAUGAAGAAGGCCUUCGGGUUGUAAAGUACUUUCAGCGAGGAGGAAGGUGUUGUGGUUAAUAACCACAGCAAUUGACGUUACUCGCAGAAGAAGCACCGGCUAACUCCGUGCCAGCAGCCGCGGUAAUACGGAGGGUGCAAGCGUUAAUCGGAAUUACUGGGCGUAAAGCGCACGCAGGCGGUCUGUCAAGUCGGAUGUGAAAUCCCCGGGCUCAACCUGGGAACUGCAUCCGAAACUGGCAGGCUAGAGUCUUGUAGAGGGGGGUAGAAUUCCAGGUGUAGCGGUGAAAUGCGUAGAGAUCUGGAGGAAUACCGGUGGCGAAGGCGGCCCCCUGGACAAAGACUGACGCUCAGGUGCGAAAGCGUGGGGAGCAAACA
rnacentral:rRNA from 1 species